CUGACCACUUAGAGAUAGGGAAGGGAGUCAGAAAUUACAUUUCCUAGUAAGUAGGAUGAGAGUGAUAAUGUGACAAUUGUCAGGCCCUGCACCAGGUGUUGGGCAAUGUGCAAACCCAGUCAUCCUUAUCCUUACCCUACAGAAACACCCACGCAAGUGUGCAAGCAUGUACGUCCAAGGUUGUUCUUACAGUAUUGUUUCUAUUAGCAAAACAUUAUAAAAAUCCAAGUACCCAUCAAUUGGGAAAUACAUAAAGAUUAUGAUACAGCCACAAAAAAUGGAAUAAUAGGCAGCCAUUACAAAAAUGUACUGACUUGGAAACUGCCCUCUAUACAUAGAGAAAAAACAGCAAGUUACAGAAUGGUCUCAUAAAACAAAAACAAAAACAAACAAACCAAAAAACACUUUUCCUCCUCAAGAAAACAAAAAUAAGAACAAAAAAACCUCCUAAAUUACACAUAUGCGUAUGUGUUUGUAUGAACCUAGGAAAAUGUCAGGAAGGAUGUGAUGGCCUCUGGGGGACAGGCUUGGAGGAAGAAGGAAGCUUAUGUUUUACUUCAUAUCCUUCUGUCCUGUUCCACCUUAUUUGAACAAGCAUGUGUUGCUUUUUAUUACAAUGUUAAAAGGAAAAAUCCUUAGACUAACUAAGUUCAACAGUUUACUUGACCAAUUAAAAUGAUUCAAAACAAAGAGAAACAAAAAACAAUUUGGGAAUCAGGCAGCCCCCCAGAACCAAAACAGGUUCAGAGAACUUUCAGAGAACUCAGGCCAACACCAUGAUCAGGCAACAUUUGUAGAUAGAGAGAGAACAGAAGUGAGAUACAGAGACAACUUAAUUGGUUACAGCUUAAUUGGUUGAUUAGUUCUACCUAAACGUCUUACCUUAUUCAACUCAGCUGACCUACUGUAGUUCAUUAAGUUCAGCUGUGUGACUCACUGAACCUCAACCAUUUGCAAGAAUAUAUUCCUAAAGUAAUUAGUUUCAUUAAGCGUGAUGGCUUCAUAUUGGUUUGGUCUGCUAGGCUCAGUAAAGGACACUAAUUCAAAUCAAUGGCCUCCUAUUUUAACACAUAAUAACUUUUUUAAUGUUAAGAUAACACAGGUUAAGAAAGCAAACUUGACUGUCCUGUUCUGUGACAAACAGCUGUUAUUUGCAAAAAGGACUCCCUGGGUUGAGGGAGACCAGAGCUCCACUUAGCAAGGCCACUCAGGAAACAGAUGGACCAACUUGAGUUCUUUUUCUGUGUGAGCUCAUCUGGGGAAUGAGACACUGUGGAUCUUCUGAGUGGAAAAGUGGAGUCAUUCAAGCCCUCCUGGCUUCUACAGAGGAGAAAACAAGAUGGAACCCAGUGACUGGCCACCAUGGACACAUGCAAGGGAGAAGGAGAAGUCCCCAGUAGGAAAAGGUGAGUCGGAGGGAGAGUUUAAAGAGCCCACGAGGCUUAGGGCUGGAGCUUGGUAGUGAAGGAAGAAGACUAAAGAGGAUCCCAGGUAGACUGAAAGAGGGGCAACUGCUUGGGCAGCAGCCAGGGUUGAGAACAAAGGUUGCCAAGACCUUUGAGGAACAUGAGGGGCAACCUGAAUAGGGCACAGGACCCACCCCUAAUCCUUCCUCUAUGGUGGAUGCUAUGGACAUUGCAACAGGCAACUGGAACCCAAGGAAAGAAUCCUUGAAUUUCUUGCAAGUGACUACCUGGCUAAUCCUCAGACAGACACUCUUCUCCAGUUAUGGUUAAAGCUUUGCCCUUCUGAAAUUAAGGAUAUGGUAAGGGGUUUCAGUUAGAUGAGGAAAUUAAGGCUUAAAGAGGCAAAGCACCAAAUGCAAUGAGAGGACCUUAUUUAGAUCUUAAUUCAAACAAAGAUACCAUUAAGAGAGAGAGAGAGAAAAACAUUAGGACAUUAUGAGACAAUUAUAAUUUUCAAAUUUAGAAAUGACUAGAUAUUUGAUGAUAAUAAGACACUACUAACAUUUUACACAUGAUAAUAGUAUUGUGCAAUAUGUUAAAAGAAGUCAUCUUCUAGAGAUACCUUUUUAAUGGGUAUAAUAAAAUAUUUAUGGGUAUAAUGAUGCAGUGUCUGCCAUUUGCCUCAGAUUAAUGAUGGAGUUGGAGAAGUUGGAUAAGGUUAUAAAUGGAAGAAGGUUGGCUAUGGGUUGGUCAUUGCUGAGGCUGAGUGAUGAAUAGAACAUGGUUGUUAGUAAAAUUAUUCUAUUUUUGUGUAUGUUUAAAACUGUGCAUAAUGUUGAGGUCUAGCAACUUGUCUGUUUCUGUGGCUAGUAAGUGACGAAGGUGAAAGGGACCUAAGGGCUGUUUGUUCCCUGAACCUGUGCUCUUGAUGACUUUGCUCCUCUACAUCCUUCCAACCCACCUAGGGCAGGAAAUGUCCUCCCUAGCAUCCCCCACAUGUGCUCUGUCUUCUGUCUAGACACCUUCUGAGUCAGGCCAUUUCACUGGAAGAUUCCUCUCCACAAUGAGCUGUAACUUUGAUCCCCUUAUUCUGCUUCUUGUCGGAGAAGGCUUCCCUGACCACUGCCACCCCAGGCUAGAGUACGUAGCCUAUGCUAAGCUUCUAAAGUGAUCUAUACACUCCUUCAUGGGACUCAUCACACUGACAGUUAGUUACCUAUUCA
rnacentral:lncRNA from 1 species